rnacentral:misc_RNA from 1 species
GAAAUGCGAUAAGUAGUGUGAAUUGCAGAAUUCAGUGAAUCAUCGAAUCUUUGAACGCACAUUGCGCCCUUUGGUAUUCCUUAGGGCAUGCCUGUUCGUGCGUCAUCUAAACCUUCAAGCCCUGCUUGGUGUUGGGUGCCUGUCCCGCCUCCGCGCGCGGACUCACCUCAAAUCCAUUGGCGGCCCCCGCGUCGGCCACGAGCGCAGCAGAAACGCGAACUCGUGAGCCCGUCCGGGCGGCUCCCAGAAGCUACACCCACCCAGUUUGACCUCGGAUCAGGUAGGGAUACCCGCUGAACUUAAGC